rnacentral:rRNA from 1 species
GACGAACGCUGGCGGCGUGCUUAACACAUGCAAGUCGAGCGGUAAGGCCCUUUCGGGGGUACACGAGCGGCGAACGGGUGAGUAACACGUGGGUGACCUGCCCUCAGCUCUGGGAUAAGCCUGGGAAACUGGGUCUAAUACUGGAUAUGACUCCACGGUGCAUGUCGUGGGGUGGAAAGCCUUGUGCGGCUGAGGAUGGGCCCGCGGCCUAUCAGCUUGUUGGUGGGGUGAUGGCCUACCAAGGCGACGACGGGUAGCCGGCCUGAGAGGGCGACCGGCCACACUGGGACUGAGACACGGCCCAGACUCCUACGGGAGGCAGCAGUGGGGAAUCUUGCGCAAUGGGCGAAAGCCUGACGCAGCGACGCCCGCGUGAGGGAUGAC